rnacentral:hammerhead_ribozyme from 1 species
AUCCAGCUGACGAGUCCCAAAUAGGACGAGACUCGCAUCGUGGAU